GCCCAGGGCCCAGCCUGGACGCUGACCUGGCCUCUCCAAGGCUCAGAUGGAAUCUUCAGUAUUUAUAAAAAGGAUCUCACGAGCUCUGAGGCAGCUGGGCCCUUCCACUUCUCUCUGGGCUGAAGGCUGCUUUGGGAGCAGGUGAUCUCCAGCCCAUAAGUGUCCUGAUAGUGGGUUUGUAGGACUUGCUUUAAGGAAAGGCUGGAGGGAAGAUCUUGGGUGGGGAAAGGGGCUAAAUUUAAUAGGGCCAAGCACACUUCAAUGUGCAUCGGAUCAUCCAGGAGGCCUAGCUGAACACAUCUCGUGCCACACAUGUGAGUCAGCGAUAUUUCCUGCAACUUCCCAGGCUGGUCAGCAACCCUUUCUUAAGAGCCACUGAGCCAGGCAUGGUAGAACAUGCAUGUAAUCCCAGUGAUCUGAGGAGACCGAGGCAGGAGGCUCUCAAGUUUGAGGCCAGCUCAGCAACUUAGUGAGAUCCUGUCUCAAAACAAAAAUUAAAAAGGGCUGGGGAUGUAGUGCAGUGGUGGAGUGCCCUGGCCUCCAGUACAGGAAAAGGGAAAAAAGCAAAAACCACCAAGGUAGAAC
rnacentral:lncRNA from 1 species